CCUACGGGAGGCUGCAGUGGGGAAUAUUGGACAAUGGGGGCAACCCUGAUCCAGCCAUGCCGCGUGUGUGAAGAAGUCCCUCGGGUUGUAAAGCACUUUCAGUGAGGAAGAACGCCUGGUGGUUAAUACCCAUCAGGAAAGACAUCACUCACAGAAGAAGCACCGGCUAACUCCGUGCCAGCAGCCGCGGUAAUACGGAGGGUGCGAGCGUUAAUCGGAAUUACUGGGCGUAAAGCGCGCGUAGGUGGCUUGAUAAGCCGGUUGUGAAAGCCCCGGGCUCAACCUGGGAACGGCAUCCGGAACUGUCAAGCUAGAGUGCAGGAGAGGAAGGUAGAAUUCCCGGUGUAGCGGUGAAAUGCGUAGAGAUCGGGAGGAAUACCAGUGGCGAAGGCGGCCUUCUGGACUGACACUGACACUGAGGUGCGAAAGCGUGGGUAGCAAACAGGAUUAGAUACCCUGGUAGUC
rnacentral:rRNA from 1 species